rfam:Gossypium hirsutum cultivar TM-1 chromosome 15, whole genome shotgun sequence
AUACCUUUCUCGGCCUUUCGGCUAAGAUUAUCUGCUCUUUAUCAGUUUAAUAUCUGAUACGUGGGCCAUCGGCUCACAUGAUAUUAAAUUUAUUUUUUUGAGGGGGAGGGUCCAUGACAGUAGCUUGCUACUGGGGCUUUCGAGCGUCGCCCAUGCGUUGCACUACUGCUUGGGCCCGGCACGCCUCAC